rnacentral:lncRNA from 1 species
AUGGACCGAUUGGAUCGAGAAGAAGCUUUCUAUCAAUUUGUAAAUAACUUGAGUGAAGAAGAUUAUAGGCUUAUGAGAGAUAACAAUUUGCUAGGCACCCCAGGAGAAAGUACAGAGGAAGAGUUGCUGAGAAGACUACAACAAAUUAAAGAGGGUCCACCACCACAAAACUCAGAUGAAAAUAGAGGUGGUGAUUCUUCAGAGGAUGUGUCUAAUGGUGACUCUAUAAUAGACUGGCUUAAUUCUGUCAGACAAACUGGAAAUACAACAAGAAGUGGGCAAAGAGGAAACCAAUCUUGGAGAGCUGUGAGCCAGACUAAUCCAAACAGUGGUGAUUUCAGAUUCAGUUUAGAGAUAAAUGUUAACCGUAAUAAUGGGAGCCAAAACCCAGAGAAUGGAAAUGAGCCAUCUUCAAGACGUUCUGGUGGAGNNNNNNNNNNNNNNNNNGUUAAAUUACAGAAAACAAUAGCCAAAGGCCAGUGGAAAAUCCGCGAUCUGAAGCAACAUCUGCAAGACCAUCUAGGUCAGAACAAAAUUCAACUGAAACAUUAACCAGAGAAAUCCCACCUACUAGAAGUCAGAGGAGGGCAAGAAGUAGGGGCCCAGACCAUCGGAGAACCAGAGCCAGACUGAAAGAAGCAGGUCACCUCUGCAUCCAAUGAGUGAAGUUCCAUGAAGAUCUCAUCAUAGUAUUUCAUCUCAAACUUUUGAGCACCCUUUAGUAAAUGAGACCGAGGGAAGUUCUAGAACCCGGCACCAUGUGACAUUGAGACAACAAAUAACUGGGCCUGAGCUGUUAAGUAGAGGUCUUUUUGCAGCUUCUGGAACAAGAAAUACCUCUCAAGGAGCAGGUUCUUCAGACACAGCCAUCAGUGGUGAAUCUACAGGAUCAGGACAGAGACCUCCAACCAUAGUCCUUGAUCUUCAAGUCAGAAGAGUUCGUCCUGGAGAAUAUAGACAGAGAGAUAGCAUAGCUAGUAGAAGUCUGUCGAGGUCUCAGACACCAAAUAGCACUGUUACUUAUGAAAGUGAACGAGGAGGUUUUAGGCGUACAUUUUCACGUUCUGAGCGGGCAGGUGUGAGAACCUACGUCAGGAUGUCAGUACCAUCAGGAUUCCCAUUCAUAGAAUUUUAAAUACUGGUUUAAGUGAGACUACAUCUGUUGCAAUUCAGACCAUGUUACGGCAGAUAAUGACAGGUUUUGGUGAGUGAAGCUACUUUAUGUACAGUGAUAGUGAUUCAGAACCUAGUGGCUCGGUCCCAAGUGGAAAUACGGAAAGGGUAGAGUCAUGGAAUGGAAGAAGGAGUUCUGGUGGUGGUAGCCGUUCUGGUUCCAGUUCAAGUUCCAGUUCCAGUUCAGGUUCCAGUCCUAGUUCCAGCUCCAGUGGCGAAAAUUCAGAAACUAGCUCAGAGUUAUUUGAAGGCAGUAAUGAAGGAAGCUCUUCAGGUGCCAGGCAAGAGGGUCGACAAAGGGCCCCAGUCACAUUUGAUGAAAGUGGCUCUUUACCCUUUCUUAGUCUGGCUCAGUUUUUCCCCUUAAAUGAGGAUGACGAUGACCAACCCAGAGGACUCACCAAAGAACAGAUUGACAACUUGCCAAUGAGAAGUUUUGGUGAAAACGAUGCAUUAAAAACCUGUAGUGUUUGCAUUACAGAAUAUACAGAAGGCAACUACCUUGUUCUCAUGAGUACUAUGUCCACUGCCUCAAUCGCUGGUUAUCUGAGAAUUCUACCUGUCCUAUUUGUCACAGAGCAGUCUUAGCUUCUGGUAACAGAGAAAGUGUUGUGUAAUUAACAUCUGAACUCUCAGCUAUGUAGCUGGUGUAGUGAUGGGCAAACAGGAAUCACUUGCUUUAUGUCCACUUUUUGAGUGGUGCUUAGCUUAAAUGUAAAGUAACAACUGAAUUGAGUCAUUUCUUUCUGAAUCAUGUCCUUCAGUUUCCGUUUCAGAAUAAAAAGAAAUAUUUAAAAAAAUUUUAGAACCUAAAAAUCUGAUUCCAAUACCAGUUGAAUUGGUAGCAUCUCUGUUACCAAUAAUUUAUACUUGUAAGUUUCUCUUUUGUUAUCUUAAAAGAUCUGCCUUAGCAAGGGCUCCUGUCUGUUUCAUGCUGAUCUUUAAUAUUUCCCAUGCCAUGGGAGAGAGAGAGGUUAAGGAAGUUCCCAGAGAAGACUAAGUUAUAUGUGUUUCAUAAGUGAUUACUUAAAGUUAUGCCAUUCCUAGUUAUUAGUUGACCCAGAUUCAGCCACACUCUGAAUAUUUGUUCACCUUUCAGACUCGGUGAUACUGGACAUGUCAGUGUAAAUAACACUAAAAAUAGAAUUUUCUAAGUGUAUGACUGUCUCCAGAGCCCAUUACUGUGGCACACUAUAGAGUGAGCUUAUAGUUUGAGAUAUUUAUCUUGAGGAAAUAUUAAAAAGCCUACGCUUGUGUAUGUGAAGAAAUCACAUUCAUUUGUUUAAAGAUGUAAAGCUAUUUUGUUAAGGCUCAGUACUUUUCCAAUGCACUGUUGUAUUGAUGCAUUAAAAAUUGUAAAGUACCAUGCUUAGAAAUGAGAAAACUGCUUUUUGUGAACAAACAUAGUAAAAAACACACCAAAAAAAAGAAACAAGCCUUGGGACUUUUCAUAGUACUAGUCCUAUAACAUCCUUCAAAAAGUGGUCAUUUGACUUUUAAAAAUUCUUACUUGUUAGUGAUUAUAUAUUCUUUGGAAACAUUAUUAUAAAGUUCUUUGAACAACAAGCUCUCUUUGUGAAUUUAAAAUCUGAUUUACACUUGGGUUUGCAGGAGCACAGCAUAAUACAUAGUAUGAUACACCUUGCUGAUUUGCUUAGCAGACUUUUUUCACAAAUGGUGUAAUGGUAUCAUUUAGUCUGGGCUGCAUUUGAAUUAUCACAGAUUGUGAAUUAAUGGCAUCUGUGUUUGGCAUAGUAUCUUAUGCACAGUGACUGCUAAAUAAAUAUUUGUUGUAUUGAAUUGAAUUUGUGCAUGUUUUAUUAUACAUCC